rnacentral:rRNA from 1 species
UGCGUAGGUGGUAUCGUAUGUCGGAUGUGAAAGCCCAUGGCUCAACUGUGGAAUUGCAUUCGAAACUGCGGAACUAGAGUACAGGAGGGGAGAGCGGAAUUCUUGGUGUAGCGGUGAAAUGCGUUGAUAUCAAGAAGAACACCGGCGGCGAAGGCGGCUCUCUGGAAUGUUACUGACACUGAGGCACGAAAGCUGGGGGAGCAAACCGGAUUAGAUACCCGAGUAGUCC